AACUAUUUUAAAAUCUUAUUAAUUAGUAUAUAGAAGAAUUUCAAAAGUAAGUCUAACAAAGAAUAGAUAGAUAAACUACAUUAGCAUUUUUCAUAAUUCUUUUACUUAUAAUACAAGCCUAUAGGUAAUUUCAAGCUAGCAUUAAUUUCCUGUCUUUCUCUUUCUUUUUAAGGUAUACUUUCUUCUCCACUGUUUUUUGAAGGAUUUAAGCUAUAGUGGUUGAAGUAGUCUUCCCCAUGUGCCUCAUAUUGUGUGCUUGAUAGAGACGGAUUAUGAGAAUACCAUCUAGCACAAAGGAGAUAGCUGAGGAAGUUGAGAAAGCUAAGGACUGCAAGCAACCAAUAGAAAAGAUCAAGCCUGUCUUUGUUGAGAUUGUUCUCACUUAGCCAACCUUUAUUUGAAGGACCUGAAGAAGUGAUCUUGUUUACUAAAGAGACCAAUAAGGAGCUCAAAUAGAACCCAAAUGAAUAUGAGCAAUAGGUGAUUGCAGUUAGAAAUGUUUGCAUCCCUUUUAAAGAUUGCUUGUAAAAGAACUCAAUGAGACCAACUGCUGUGAGCAUUUCUGAUAAUCCAAAGAUUAAGAAUUGUGGGGUGAUCCAAAAGAUUGACAGUAUUUUGUCAGAGUCUACUGCUGCAUCCCUUCUCUUCUUCUCCAUAAUAGCAGCAGCAACCAUAGAAAAAGUGGCAAAAAAGAGCCCAGCUCCUAUCCUUUGUAAAGGGGUUAUUCCUGAUUCAUGACCAGUGAAUUUCCUUGCGAAUGGGACAAAAAAGGUGUCAUAUAGAGGGACUACAACUAUAAGGAUAAUGUAAGGGAUGGAUUGAAGUGAAGCUGGAGGGAUCUUGAAGGAUUCUGUAAGAUGGGUGUCCAUGGAACUCCCUUGCUGAACUGAAAAUGUUUGGAGCUGUGCUAAAAUAGUGUUGAAAACUAUAGUGCAAGCAAAAAUUGGAAUCACUGAUAUUAGUAUCUUCACUUGCUCCACUUGAGUUACAGUGCAUAAUCUCCAUGGACUCUCCUUUGUAUUAGUCUCAUCUUGAAUUUUGAUGCAUGCCUUAUCCAAGAACCUAAGUCUUUGAGUGUGAACAAGCUUGCCAGAGUCAGAAGAUAUGCCAACUAUGCUAUUGUUUGGCACAUUAUUGUUUUGGCUUCCAUAUAACAUGUCUGGAUUAGAAGGACAAAUUUGUUUUCUCUUUGAUAUAGCAGCCACAAAAACCUGAUAAAAAUUGUACAAAGGAUAAAGAGAAUCUGAUUAGAAUAUUAAUGUGUGAGAAGACAACCCUUUUAAUUUAUGCGCACAUAAUCUUUUUUAAUCAAAUAAUUCACAUGUUAACUUUGUCUCUAAUACGAUAAGCAAACAAAAUUGCAUAUAUUUAUAUAAUAGGCUAGCUAAUUAAUUUUGUCCCUAAUGCACAUGACAAUUAUCUAGCAGAAUCAAAGAGUCAUAAUUAAUGAUAAAACAACCGUAGAAAACCACUAAUCAGAUGGACACUGCUAGCUCUAGGAAAUAUUAAAUUAAACAAUAUCAUCUGGGUCAUAGUCAACAAUCUAAUAAUGGCUUGUGAUUUGACAAAAAAAAGGAAAUUAUUUGCAGGUAGGCGUACUUAACAGUCAUUGUCCACAUGCACUAGUAGAAACCAUGAAAAAAAUAUGAAGAGAGAUACCA
rnacentral:misc_RNA from 1 species